GCUAGCGCUGCAGCUGACGACAGCUACAGUCGAGUCGUACAGGGGUCAGCUUGCUACCGCUGACGAGCGCGACGCGGUGAGUAUGCAUAGGACUCUGCCCGAUAGUGGGGGAUAACCUGGGGAAACCAGGCUAAUACCGCAUACGUCCUACGGGAGACAGGGGCUCCGGCUCCCGCUAUUGGAUGAGCCUAUGUCGAUUAGCUAGUUGGUGACGGUAAUGGCUCACCAGGCACGAUCCGUCAGCUGGUCUGAGAGAUGAUCAGCCACAUCGGACUGAGACACAGGCCGAACUCCUACGGAGGCAGCAGU
rnacentral:rRNA from 1 species